CUUUGGACACCUUUCUGGAAAAUGCUUGUGUGAAUGGCUCUGCUGGCAGAAUUUUUCGUGGAAAGACCCAAUGCUAAAUACAUACACUCCCUUGUAAAUCUACGUGUUUUGUCCUUCCAUACUCAAGCUAACACAACAGGAUCUCCAUUUUCAGACUGUUUUCGUGGUCCCAUCACACUCAGAAAUAAAGUGGGAGAUUUGUUCUAUCCAGGAAAUUGCCCCUCACUGGUAUUCUUGACUGAACUCAGGAUCAUGAGCACGUAAGUUCCUUGACUGUAACUAAUGCUUUUGGGAGGGAGCCAACCCUGUUCCCUGUCUUCCCCAGAGUCCUACAGAACUCAAAUUCAAGUUCCAGUAUCUGGUAUGUAUGUACACAUAAGCAUUGUGAAGCAGAAGUAUAAAUGAGACUGUAAAUAUGACUUUAUGAUGGAAAAUUUGGGCAACGGUUUUAUUGUUUCUCGUUUCAACCAUCUUGAAAAUGCUGUAAAGGAAUUGAGAAGUAACUGGAAAGUUUCUGAAUUUAUUUUCCUUAAUGGAACUCUUAUGAUUAUGUCAUUGUAAGAGCUGUGACACAGGGCUACAAACGUGGUGAGCAGUCUGGAGGGCAAAACAUAGGAGGAGGAACCGAGGUCCCUUGGGUUGGUUUGUUCAGCUGAGAAGAGGCUGAGGGAAGGCCUUGUAGCUUACAGUUGGGCUCAAUGAUCCUUAUGGGUCCCUUCUGAUUUGGAUGUUCUGUGACUCUAUGAUUCUACUAUUUUGAGUAUUGCUUUUCUUUGUGUACUGUGGGUUUUUUUCCCCAUUAUACAAGAAAUCUAGCAUACUUCCACAAAAGCUGGUAAGAAGUUCAAAAUAAGGAAUUGAUUUUAUUUUAAAUACAACUUUUUGAAAAACAUCUGCUUGAUUCUCUAUGUAUUUUUGUGUUUUGCAAAAUUAAGAUAUUAUUGCUUAAAUUGAUUAGGAAAACUCUAAAAGCAGAUAAAAUUAGAAAGAACUUAACCAGAAAGAAGGAAAAUUUACCUUACUGGUACCAGUUUGACAUUCACCAGUUGAUUUUUAUAAAUCCUCAAUUGUCCUUCUCGAUAGGAACCAUUUGAAGUUUAGAUAGAAAGAAUAUGGAACUCUGUACCUGUAAAGAGCUGCUGUUAAAGCGUGGGCUGUGGUUUGCUACACUGGGGAGCAGCUCUGAUCGAAGAGGCCUAGUGGUCUUAGUGGACCAGUGUGUCUGUGUUUCUUCUGGUAUUACAUCUGCCUCUUGAAGGAGGAAAAACAAAAGUAAUUAAAAAACUAAAAGCAGUUUUCAAGUUGUGGAACUACUAAAAUGUCUGAAUCGAGGAGUUAUCAGUAAAAAAUCUUUCAGAAAUGAUAUUGUGGAAGAAACUACUAUUGAAAAAACGAUGAGGUUUCUACUCAAGAUUUUCUAGUCCUGGCAUAAUGUGGCACUGAUCAUUAGUCUGACACUUUCUAUAUCAUGCUGGUUUGUGUCUGGCCAAGAAGGUGCAAUAUGAAGGUUGCUUCUACAAGUCUGUAUCUGUCUGCAGAGCUGAACCUCAAUUAUUAUAUCUGACAAAGAAUAAGCUGUUAUUACAAUAAAUAUUACAUGGGAGGUCUUAAAAUAAACUUUCUCCCUGUUGCCUGACAGGAGAGGCUGAGUGGCUUUAACAUAGUGCACCAAAGUGUACUCCUGAAUUGGUUUCACCUCUAUUUCAGAGAAACCAGAAGGAUAAUCAUUUAAUAAUUUCAUAUAAGUGUUGUCACGAUCAAAAGAAGAAUGUGAUUCAUUUAAAUUUGGAAGAGAAUCUAAGUGACUGCUUUGCAUCAGUAAACUUCAGAGUGCUCUGUAAUUCGUCAUGGCCGACAGCAAGAAAACCCAGUUGAAGGAAGUGUAUGUAUAAUGCUGUUAGAAAAGUUUUGAAUUUAGCUGAACUUUACUCUUCAGUUCACUGACUGGUGUGACAUUAAGAACACAAUAAAGGUCAGUUAAAUGGCAACAUCAAAAAGUUUCUUAAAUUAUAAGAUGGCUCUUGCGUGUGUCCAGGCUGCUGAUGAAUCCUUAGCGAAUUAUCGUGGUCUACCAGUAGACAAACACUCUAUAUGUAAAAAUAUGUUCCUUCAAAUUAUUUGAGUGGUAGAGCAAGUAGAGCAACAUUGCCAAACUUCCACCGUGAUGAAACAGAAAGCAGAUUUUGAAAAGGUAUUACUUAACAGUUUUUUUUUUAAGUUCUGUAAGACGGAGGCUUUGAUUUCUGUAAAGCUGUUUAUGGUACUACUUAAGAUUUAACCUCUACCUUAAUGCUAUUGUAAGCCAGAAUGUAAUUAAUAUUUCUUUCUGGCAAAGGGCCAGCAGGUCAGUAGUUGCUCAGGAAAGGAAAACAUUGUACAUACGCCAAGCAGAAGCUCCACAUUUUGGGAUCCUGUUUGUACCAAGCAGGGUUAAAGUUCGUUACAUAAGGGGACUGUAAGCAACAACUUGAAAGUGCAGAAAUAAAAGACCGUUGAAAUUAAUUAUGUAUGGCCUACAAGAUUUUAAUCUCGGUGGAUCUCCUUCACAAACUGUAGCCAGUUUGGCUUGUGUUUAUUCACUACACCCAACUCUUCUUCAUGUAAAAUGUGUUGAAAACUCUUGUGAGUCUGGCAAAAUUCCAGCAUUAGCAAAGUUAUAUAGAACACCUUCACUCUUAGAAGAUCAAACAGUAAAGAAUAAAUGAGUCUUUCUCAAAUGCCCACAGAUGGAAAUUCACCCUGAUCAUUUAUGGAUGGAUGCUAGCAGAAUAGUGGCAUAAAUUAAAAAUACCAGUAAAAUACUAUUCAAGUGAUUUAAUCGAAGGUAUUAAGGCCAGCUAGUUCAAGAAAGAAAAUGAAAAGGAAUAAUUCUAUAGGCUAUAGGGGACUGCUGAUUUAACCUGUUGCAAUUAAUACACUUCAGUGCCUUUGAUAUGCCAGCAUUUGAUGAAUGUACUGGUAACGAUCACUGAAUCUAUCAAAAAUAAGCAUAUUCAGUGAGACUGGCUUUUGAAUUUAGAACAAACAUAACAAAAAGCUAAGCCAUUGGGCUAAUUUGAGGAACCUCACCACUGCAUUAGAUUAGCAAGAGCAAGCUGAACUGAGCAGAGAAGACCCAAAGAUGAUGAUAGAAAACGGCACUUAACAGAGCAUUUUCCCCAGGUCCCUAAAAGAUCCUUAUGCAUCUGUUCAUUUUAUGAGCUAAACCCAUUGAAGAUGGAUUUGGCAAGCAUGGGUGUGCAUGACCACUGGAAUAGACUUUUUGUGCAUCAGUAUAGAUUGAUUGAUUCUAGAUAGCGCACCAGAACAUGGCGUUUUUUCCCCCAAAAUAAAAAGUCAAGCCACUGCUUGGAACUACUUUUUGGAUUCUGUUAAGCAGCAUUUUCCCCUGCACUGUAGCAGCUCACAUGGGUGAGAUCUGAAUGGACAGAUCCUGAAAAGAAUAGUUAAGUGCUUUUUAGAAAUUCUUUGUCAAUGCUAGUUUUCAUUUUUGUUAUACAGUGGAAGAUUUGAUGUCUGUAGAUCAGCUGUGAAUAGAUGACACUGUGGAUACAAAGAAGUCUUAAAGGUGAUUCCGUUCUCCAGGUACUGAAUCAAUAGCAUCUUUGCCAUUGACAUCUAUAGCAAUAUAAAUACGUAGCAAUUAUGUAUUAAAAUUACUGUUAUAACAAUAAUGAAAAAAAAUUGAGAGAAACUUGAUAUGCAAUAUAGAAUCCUUAGGAGUCCCUCAAAGUUCAUUGCUCUAAAGAAUUGCACCUUAAUUGUGUAGUUUCAUUUUCUAAGGAAAGGUUCUGUAAAAUAUAACUUUAACUAUUUCACUGUUUUCAUUUUUUUUAUUUGCCAUGAAAGAUACUUACAUUUUAUUGGUCUGUUUAUUUUUGAGUGGACUCCCCUUCUUGUCUAUGCCACUUACACCAUCUUAAUUUUAAAUUUUAAUGGACAAAUUCCCAGCUUUCUGAUAUACUCUGUUAGAAACCAAUCCCAAGUCUGUCAUUGUGAUGGUAAGGAAUGGAGUCUUUGGAGAGGCAACAUCUCAUUUGCAGUGAAUUCCUGGAUGGCUUUUCUUAAAUUGGCUUUUCCCCAGAAGUAACUUAUAAAUGUGGUUAUUCAUUUAAAUAGUUUACUACUGGGAAAACAAAGCUCUAUAAAGUACAAGAUCUCAUUUGCAAAGUGGGUCCUGGGGACUGAAAGACAUGUGCUAUGUGUUGUAGUCUCCAUCUUCUGCUUUUUCUGCUGUUAGGAAAUUAUUUGAAAAAUACCUAAAAUAGGAACAAUAUGCUCAAUGGCUGAACAGAAGGCUCACAUCUGAUCUCCACAGCAAAACCCAGAGUGGUAGCCUUUAACAAUGGUUACUGUAGUCCUCAGAGGAAAGGAUCUGUGUGCUUAUUGGAAGAGCCAGCACAGCUUCUUUUUCCCAGGAGGGCUCAGUCUGGUUGUGGCAACCCCUGGCUGUGUGUCUGCUAGGAAAAGGGACAUGCCUGGGAUGUUCUUUGGUGAUGAGAGUAUCAGAUGUAUACCGUAUGUCCAAUGUCUGUGUCCACAAUCUGAAACAGAGGCUGCUUCAAAAAUAUCUUUGGGAAGUGUCUUAGCUGAUGUUAAGUCUUCUUGAGUCAUGCCUGUGCCCAAAUCAAGUCAAGGAUCAAUCUAGCAGUUUAGCAAUUGGCUUCUAGUGAAACUUUACUUUUAAAGAUCUCUUGGAAUUAUAUAAUGAAAGGUGAUCCUCACCUAAUUUAUGGAAAGAAUAAACUAAAUCCUUGGAUCAUUCAUACUUAUCAAGUAUUCCAAGCAUAAAAGCCCUAUGGAAACAAGACUUGUCUCAUGCCUCUAAAAUUUCUUGCAAUUGUUUCUUGGAUGAUAGUAUGGAGAAUAUCUUUCAGGAAACAUGCUUAGAAUAGUCACAAAAGCACUGAAUAGCCCUGAAAAUAACAGCCAUCUUACUAAUAAUACUCCAGCACUCUCCCUUUUCAUAGAAUGCGUGCUUGACAUAUCAUAAAUGUCUUCAACAGUAUGAGAAUGUCCCAUAUUUGUUGGAAAGGCACCUGACAUCAUCCCAAAUUUUAGUGUUACUGUCCAACAAAAUUAAAACAAACAAACAAACAAAACAAAAGAAAAAAACAAAAUUCUUGAAAUAACUGCAUGUUUUGCAUGUUUUUCUUUUUCAGUUAUACUCAGUGCUCUCAGUCAGGCCUUCACACAGUCUGUGUUUGGCUGAAUUCUCUUUGCGGAGUUUAAGAGACUUCAGAGGCAUUUCUGAAAGCAUUUAGAUUAAAUACAGAGAGCAGAAAAAAGAAAGGAGGUUCUUAAUGUUUGAUUUUGAUUCUUUUUUUGUUCUAUAAUGUAACAUCGAUAGCUUGGGAACUGGCUUAAACAGUUAAUGGUAAAUGCCUAUGGUAAAUGGUAAAGGCAUACUGUUACAGUUAAAAUUUAAUAUUUAAAAUUUAAUAAUUUUAAUAUCCCAUGGGGAAUCAUCUGAGUUGUUAUGCAUAAAUGAACAUGACAAAAUUCCUUGUCAGGUAGAGUAAAUAACUUCAGUAUGUGCGUAUUUCUCUCAUUUACUCCUCACAUUUUUUGCCACCUAUUUUAUCAUAAAUACAGAAACUAGCUUCAGUCCCCAAAGCAAGAAAUCAGAGGUAAGAAUGCAGACCACACUUACAGUUUUCUGAAAUUCUAAGGAAAACUGUAAUCUAGAUUUCCUAAGUGGAAUCAUGGUUAUUAUAUUCAAGACAUGAUUUUUAUUUAUUUUUUCAGUGGGUAACUGGGAAAAAUGAGCUGAAGUUUCAUAUAGUUUUCGAAAGCAAUAUUUUGUCAUUUUGAUAUUUGUCUUCUCUCAACAGCAGUUUCUAUUAUUGUCAUGUACAAUUAGGCCUAAUUAUUAAUGGUUUCAUUAAAAAAAAGCAUUUUCCUCUUUUUUAUUUUUUGUUCUGUCUGGAAAGGAGAAUUCUUGCAAAGACAGGAAGCCCAGUUGCCUGAAUAUAAUCAUAGUGUAAUUUUAUCAUAAGCAGAGAUUGUAGUUGAUUUAAAGGUGGUUUUUUUUUUGUUUGUUUGUUUUUUUUGUUUUUGUUUUUUCUGCAAUCUGAGUGAACAGAGUCUAUGCUUUGCCUAAUUGUUACUUCCUGUUUCAAGUUGUCUUUCUUGAGUCAGUACUGGGACCUGUCCUGUUUAAUAUCUUUAUUGGUGACCUGGAUGAAGGGAUUGAGUGCACCCUCAGUAAGUUUGCAGAUGACACCAAGAGGAGGGAGGAAGUGUCGAUCUGCCUGUUGGAGGACCCUGCAGAUCUGGACAGACUGCAUUGUUGGGCUGAGGCCAGCACUAUGAAAUUCAACAAGACUGGGUGCUGAGUCCUGCACUUUGAUCAGAAGAAUCCCAGAACUGCUGCUGAGGGGAGCUGGAAUCAGAACUACACAUCCAGCACAGUGCCGUCUGGAAGGGGAUCAGCAAAUAGGGACUGAGGCACUGCCUUCCCACUUCUGACAGCUCCAAACCCAUUCCCAGAGGCUACAUCAAAGUGAGAAGUCAUGGACUUGGCCUUGCUCAUCAUCCUUUGAUUUUUCUGUUACAGCUCCCAGUCAAUUAAUGAUUGUAGCUUAACUUAUGAAACCUUGAUCCAUGUUGCAAUAAUAACCAAAUAAUCCUUGCCUUCUGUGAAAUCAGAAGUUACUUCUUAAAUUGCAAGAGAGUUUAUAACACCUGUCCUGGAUCAGCCUGAUAAACACUAACACCUGACCAUAGAGUGGGACGGAAGGGUGGGAAUGUCCUGCAGUCAGGAUGCCCAACCUGGCUACAAAAGGGCUGUAGAUACAGUAAUUUUGAAGAGCACUUAACUCACUGUUAAAUAUUUAAGAGGAGAGAGUACAUGAGAGCUAAAGAUUUUCUUUUGGCAUAAACAUUUCUUAGGCUCUGGUGUUGUUGCAUUGUAAGUCACGUGCAGUGGCACUGGAAAGGGGCAGCAAGGCAGGUGCAUGGUAUGACCCUGAGGUUCUCAUUCUUGGAGCCACUUUCUCUGCGUGGACUGUGGAUAAUAGCAGUGUAAUGGAGGUUGUCACCUUUUGGCCUGUGAACCUCUAACCCUCAAAUAAUGGCCACGAAUGUGAAUUCAUUCAAAUUAAAAGUUUUACAUCUGUCAGGUUAUAAAUACAUAAAGGAGCAACUCUGUUAUUCAGUUGUGUUGAAAAGAAGUUGAAAAGCCUCUGAAUUGAAACAUGCUUGCCGCUAGAUAAGAUACAUUUUUAAAGAGCAUGCUCUUAUUUUAAUAAA